rnacentral:rRNA from 1 species
GAUGAACGCUGGCGGCGUGCCUAAUACAUGCAAGUCGAGCGAACAGAUAAGGAGCUUGCUCCUUUGACGUUAGCGGCGGACGGGUGAGUAACACGUGGGUAACCUACCUAUAAGACUGGGAUAACUUCGGGAAACCGAAGCUAAUACCGGAUAAUAUUUCGAACCGCAUGGUUCGAUAGUGAAAGAUGGUUUUGCUAUCACUUAUAGAUGGACCCGCGCCGUAUUAGCUAGUUGGUAAGGUAACGGCUUACCAAGGCGACGAUACGUAGCCGACCUGAGAGGGUGAUCGGCCACACUGGAACUGAGACACGGUCCAGACUCCUACGGGAGGCAGCAGUAGGGAAUCUUCCGCAAUGGGCGAAAGCCUGACGGAGCAACGCCGCGUGAGUGAUGAAGGUCUUCGGAUCGUAAAACUCUGUUAUUAGGGAAGAACAUACGUGUAAGUAACUGUGCACGUCUUGACGGUACCUAAUCAGAAAGCCACGGCUAACUACGUG